UACGUAGGGUGCGAGCGUUAUUCGGAUUUACUGGGCGUAAAGCGUGUGUAGGUGGUUUAACACGUCCUUGAUUAAAGACUCGGGCUCAACUCGAGGAAUGUUGAGGAUACGAUUAGACUAGAGGUUUGCAGGGGCAGAUGGAAUUCCCGGUGUAGCAGUGAUAUGCGUAGAUAUCGGGAAGAACACCGAUGGCGAAAGCAGUCUGCUGGGCUCAUCCUGACACUGAGACACGAAAGCGUGGGUAGCGAACGGG
rnacentral:rRNA from 1 species